AGUCUUUUUUAAUGUAAUAUAUAUCAUAAUAUAAUAAACCAGCUUUCUGAAAUGGAGUCAAGAUCUCUCCUUCCCUUCACCAAGUCCUAACUGCCCAGAAGACCCAUGGUAAUAACACGGCAAUGACAGUAAGCCUUGUCAUCACCUACCAUUUAAUCCACAAGGCACGAGUGUGACUUGAUGCUCAGAUCUGCACAAAUGACUACAGGCAACACCUCCUCUCAGUGUCAACCCAGCACGUCUUUGUGAGACACCUAUCCACUUUGUCCAGUGGAAAAGGACCUCGACUCUAGAUGAUUUCUAGAUGAGUUUACAAGCACACUCAAGAGCUGGGAAGUCAAGGAGAAUACAAGCAGAUCUGCAGUGACUGUACCGUUUCUUAUAUAAAGCAUCUCCAUCUUCACCUGUGUCUCUCAGUAAAUCUGAGACUGAACAGCUGGAAUUUAUAUGAGAAACAAACUUGCCAUUUUCUUUCAAUGUUAUGCCACAUCUGUUGAUUUUCUUUUUUAAAAAAAAUACAUAAGGCAGGAUGUGAUUUAAAUUUAUGUACAAGAAAGCAUGAAACAGAUAAUCUGAGAAGUGUACAAAGUUCCACACAGAACAUCUGAUAUGCUGUAAGUAUUAAUGUAUAAACUCAGACCGUCUUCUUACUGCAAUAGUUCUUCAUGGUUCAAAAUGAGCUUGAUCUAAAAUGAAACAUAACUUUGAACAGGUUUUAGCAAUGAAUACCUGAACAUAAACAUCUUAAAAAUGUGAAAGCUGGAGACUUUAUAGAGCUGGUUAGAGUGGCUGGUUAUUUAUAAUGUAAACUCAAAAGAAAACAGUGCAACUUUCAAAAAAACACAGGAAAGUUUUCUCAGGCUGCACGCUAGAGAGUACGUCUGCCAAAAGACCUCCAAGGAGCUCUGAAGAGCCCUUUAUUCUCCCUUCUAAGGCUUCCAUGCAGCAGAGCAGCCUGUUGAACACUCGGUUUUUAGCAUUCUUCUUUUUCUUCAGAAAUUACGAAGGCAACGACAUUACUGAUUUGGAAAGGACAUUAUCUCUAAAAGAGCGACAAACAAACUUUCCAUGCAUUGUUUCAAGUCAUACAAAGAGGGUAAAAAAAUUACCAACUGAGAAGAAAUUCUUAUUAUACAACAACACAAUUUUAAUGUUUUGAAACAGUUCCUUCUAAAAAAAUCUUCUAGAGUUUGUUUUCACCCGAGAUAACACCAAAGGCCAGUGGUGUGAUCUGAACUGGUGAACACAAAAUACGACUUUUCUUAAAUGGAAACUAGAACUUGACUUCAUACAGUGCCUUCAUACUUAGUGUGUUAUAAAUUACUUUAAAUACUGGCAGGCAAACAGCCAUUAUGCACUCAAGAGCUCAUACGUAAUAAUACUUAGCAUUUUGAUAGAGCUUUUCAUCUUCAAAGUGCUUUACAAACAACUCAUUAAUCUCAACCAAUACACCUGCAAGGUAGAUAAAUAUCUGCAUUGUAGGUGGAGAAAGACACAGAAAGUUCAAUGACUCAUCCAAAGCCAUGCACACUACCAGCCCCAAAUAUCCCUAGCUCCUGGCUCCUAGAGCCAUGAAGGACCUGAGCCCCACUGUGUGUUGAGAUCACACCUUCUCUUGAGCUACAGAGCUGCAGGAGAACUUAUUUUACUGCAAAGCAGUGGCAGAGUGCCAGCCUAGCUGGAGACCCUCCCUCUUCCAAAGCUGGUAAGUUCCCAAGGACUGCUAGCUCCCACCAGGAUCACCAACCCCAGGAAGUGGGAAGUCCAUGAGACACCAAAGUGAGACUCACAACAUAGAUUCUCAAACCAAUUCACCAUCAAGCAGUGAGCUGGAAAAGCCUCUGCACUGGCAGAAGCCUUUGCCUCUCUCCCUAUUUAUUUCUAGCUGCAGCACAGACUCCAGAGCAGCAGAUUCCUACAAGUCAGACAACAGAACCCUGAAGUCUUUGGCCUCUGAGUACUGCGACAGUUCAAGAAAACAGCUUCACUCCUCUGGUGUUCUCUAACUAUUAAAAACUUGUAAUGAAAUUUUGCAUUCAAAAAUGGUAAUUCUCUUCCCUGUUGGUGACUGGAAAAAAAAUUUAACGUGAUUACGCUGCAUGAUUUUACUUCUAACUUUCUGAGUUUUAAAAGUGUCAGAUAUGAUUUUUCUUAAACCUCAGAAACACCAGGAAUGUCAAACUUGGAGGGAGCAGAAGAGAAACGUGGAAGGUGUGAAUACAAUACAUGUACUGCGCUACAGCAGACUUUAUAUUCCCUCAGAGAAAAUGAAUAAUGAACUUUUAGUAAUAACAUAUUUAUUUCAGAUGUUUAUUAGUCACUAGAUUUAAAUACAUAAACCUGACAAUCCUUAUCUGUUCAUUCUUCACAUUUGUGAGCUUGGAGCUCAGCAAGUUCUCCAGCCACUGUAGCUCCUCCCUGGGUAAACCACUCAUAUUUAGAAAUAUAGGUUCGUCAGACAAACUGUUAAAAUAACAGAAAAACAAAUUCCACUUUUUCUUAAGAUAUCGAAGAAAAAAGUCUCUCUACAAGUAAUGGUAUAAGCAAACACUUAUCAAAAGAUAAAUGAAUGGCAAAAAUGUAUGUAUCUAAAAGAGCUCUGCCAGCCUACCCAGUUGACCUGGAUAUAAAAGGCAAAAUAAGAAGAAGCAGCCUUUAAUUACUCUUCCCCACAUUGAUGUUUUAAACUUAUAAAGAAAAAAAUAACAAGCCCACAUAAAUCAAAACAACAUGAAGAAACAACUCCUGAUUAUUAAACAGAAGCUACAAGUUCCCCACCUUUAGAAGACUUUUAAGCUUAUUAUUUCAUGAUUUAAAGUGGGCUUGUGUCUGACUGCCAACACCAUGCUUUUAAAAAAACAAGUCAAAUCUACAACUCCCAAUGAAAAUAAAGGCAUAUAAGAGCAAACUAAAAAUAUAACAUACAGGAAAUAAAAUUAGAUUUAAUUACAUUGAACACUAGCGUUCAUUCUGCAAUCACAAAAAAAUUCUAAAAGCAUUUUCUAAAUUAAAAACUCCACCAUAAUAUUCUACAGCUAAAAUACUAUGCACUCUUUAUACAAUGCAUUUUUUCCAAAAGAAUGAAACAGAUUAAAGAGCAGCAUGCAAGAACAAAAUUGAAAUCUGCAAUUGUAUCCACUAAACUCUGGAAGCCUAACAAUGAUGAUGCAGUAAAAAACCACCUAACAUCACAACAGUAAUGGCACAACAUUUUUUGCUAUAUUGCUUAAUAACUCAUCACUUUAUUUGUAUGCAGCAAUGAAGAGAUGCCACAGCAACUCGUGUCUGUCUCUGUGUGCUCUAUUGUUUCCUGCUUCUGUUUUCAGGGUAGGUUAAAAAGAAUCUUUUCUCCUAAUCAUCAGCAAACCAGUACCAGAUUUCACUUGUGGUAAAGUAUGCUACCCAUCAGUACAAGGCAAAGCUCCAUAAAAGCAACAAAGAAAAUAAAAAAAAGCAAGAGGCAAGGUCUGAACACAUUUUUCUUUCAAUUCCCUUGGGAAUCAUGGUUCUAUAGGUCUUGAAUUCCCAGGCAGAGGGGAUCAUGUUCAUCAGUUACGGCAGCUCCUCUGGGCCUAAGUCCAGGUAGACUGCUUGUCUAAACUUGAUGAAAUAUAGGCGCCAUCAGGUAACGGCAGUGGUUGGGGAGACUCCAGAAAUGUGUAACUGAGAACUAAAAAAUGAAAUUAAAGCAAGGCUGUAGCCAAACAGCCUCCUUCCACAGGAUGCAAUAACUGUAAGGCAAAGAGUUUGCAACAUACAGACUCCUCCUUAUAUAUGUUCUUUUGCCUCUUCACAUAGAUAAUAUGAAAGCUGGAUUGGGCAGAUAAGCAUAUUUUAACAAACAUUGAUUUUAAAUAGAAAUGCUUAGGAAAGAAACCAUUGUGACAAAUACAAAUGGCUUGAAUAGAAAAAACAUUAAAAAGAAGUCAUUGCCCUGUAACCCACUCUCUCUCCCACUACAUUACUUCAAAAUAUUUUCAAAUUAAAUUUUCAUGCUAAUAAGUAUUGCUAGAUCAACAGCACUGGGAUGUGGUGUCUAGAAGCACUGCAAGCUACCCAUCAUGGCACAUCAUCAUGUCAAAAUGUCGAAAGAGAAGAAGAAGAAGAAGCAGCAAGACUCACUAGAUGUGCAUUUUGAAGUGCUAUAGGAAUGUGCUUGUUUGGGAAUGGGGAAGGAAGGAGGAACCAAAAAAAAGGAAAAUUCUCAAUCCCCAGUUGAUAAGAUCGUUGUAACUGGGUGUCCUAAAGGUAGCUAUAGUACAGAAAAGGCCUUUUCAGACUGAACAUGAUCAAGUACUACUUUGAAAUCACAAAUUGCAGUGGACCAGCAGGACUGUCAUUGAAGAAUGGUCAAAAGCUCCUAAGCUUUUGUUUAAAUUUCCUCUUGAUUCACAGCUGUCACAAUCAGAACAUCAUGUCUAUUAUAUCCAAAUAUCAAGGAAAGGAAAACCAGCUUAGAUUUCAUGACACAGACGUCCACUGCAGCUUUAGCAUCAAAACAGGUUCAACACCAGAAGUAGCUUGUCUUCAAGGUGAUUUCAGCCAAAUCCACAUCUCUUCAGAAUAAAAAAAAAGAGAAAAUACCAUAACACCACAGAAAUAUUUUUUGGUAUCCUCAACCUUACACUCCAACUAUAGCUAUACAUGGAAAGCCACACAAGAAAUGAGGUUAAGUGUACCAAACUGGCUCAGUAGGGUUUCCCCUGCACAACUACAGAACACUCACAAUACACAAAUCCCAAAGUUUACAGACUAUGUGGUAUGUUGUUUUUAUGUGCACCUUAAAUUCAGCUUCUGGUCUAGGUAGGGUAAUUCAGUGCAAAAACUUGAGUAAAAGAAAUUCUGUAUCUAAAUCUAGAAAGCACCUUACCUAUGUCCACUGCUAGACUGCAAGUUUGCCUGGUAACAUAGGAGCAGCAGGCACCAGGGCAGGCUCAGGCCCUGUUUCAUCCUGCUGAUGCUGUGCUGCCACAAAAUCCUCCAGAAAUUACUCCCUCAGUGCUAGAGUUUCUCCAUCCAUCAGCUAGUGCUCAUGAUUUCAGCCCCUUUUGUUUGCUUAGCUAUCUGCACUGUGAGCUCUCAGAGGCAAAAUAAAAUGUUUUAUUAUAUGUUCACAGGACAUUUGAUCCUGUGAUUUUAGGGAGUGAAGCUAUCUGCUCUAAAAUAAAAGGUAAUUCACUAUUUGAGGUCCAGAAUUUCUUUAGGAAUGAUUCAUCCAUUCUUUCUCCUCAAACGCUAUAUAUUACUCUAAACCAGCUUAGAGACCUGUCAUGUACUCUACCACUAUUCUUGACGUUUCAAGUAACAGAACAUGCAAGGACCAAGUAGCCAGACACUUCACAGUUUGACCCUGCACAUAGCCUCGGCAGGGUCAUCUUCCAGUACAGAUUUUAGGAGUCUGUAUUUUUGUUCCCUUUAAUUUAAUCUCUAAAGAUUGUGAAGUGGUAUUCUUUAUUUCACUGAUUUGCUGUAUGAGUAUAGAGGAGGUUAAAUCAGUUACUUGGUUCUUUGCAGAACAGCACUAGAAUCCGUGCGUGUUGGUUAACACUGCAUGUGUCAGCCUGAAGAGUAGAAGACUGAAGCAACACCUAAAGGAGAGACAAAGAUUGCCUUCUUUGCUGCCCAGAGGCAGCACUGAACUGAAUAUCUUGAAUUAAAAUCACAGACAAGACUUUCCAUUUCAGACUUUCUACCUUAUUACAUGGUAUUAUGUUGAGCCUUUGCUUCUACAUCUGCAGGCAGGUGAGGAAAAUGCCAGAUGACAACGGGCUCUGGCAGGCAGCGUAGAAGUUGUGCAUGCCAACAGUCCUUGCACACAGACAUCCCCAUGUCCAACUGGGAAGACAGAAACAGCACUGUAAAAUCCACUUUGGAAGCACAGCAGCAAGACAGCUCCCUACGGUGGGGCAUCCCACUUUCUUGCUAGAGUAAUUCCCAGAGCUUUUCCCAGGUAUUUUCCUUCAGGGUCAGUAGCCUGUGCACAAAGGUGGACAAUGGCCCUUCAGCGAAUCACCACACCAGGGCAGCGAGCUUCUGCAGAGGGUGGAAAAGCCUCAGAGCUCUGCCAUAGGAAUGGAAAGAGGAAGCAGCUCUUUUCUGCUUAAAGAAAGCUCCAGGUGUGCUUUAAGGAGAAUUCUGCAAAAUUAAAAGUGAUACAUACAAAAUACAUUUCUAAACAUGAUCAAUUUUGCCUGAAGGAUUAUGGCUGGGCUUACUUUCCUUAACUUCUGGGAUAUGAAAAUAUACCUGUGUAAUACAUUUAUCACAGACUAAACACUGGCAGAUACAGGACACUACCUAGGACCUGGGCACCCAAGAUAUAAGGCAUGCAGAGCAGAGAAAGCAUUCACAAAAAGCUGAAACUAAGUACUCCUCAGGAACUCAUCAUUAACUUUGUCUCCAUGUGGGUUUUAGCUGCAACCACAACGGUGACGCUCUGGUGCCAGGGCAAUGGGCACCUUCCUACAAAGGAGAAAAGACUUCUUAGUCUGAAAUGAAUGGCUACAAGAGUAGGUGUGGGUCACUAAAGCUGUUGAUGUGGCUGAAAAUGUUGGUUUUCAGCAGCUGUCCAGGACAUCUGCUAAUGACUUUCCUUCAUUUAAAGGCAACCUUAGCUAAUGCUGAGAAACCUAAGCUCACAGAGAAACCACACCCCACACAUCCAUCCACAGCCAGAAGUGAUAGAUCUCGUAAGAAAAAAAGACACAGUGUGCUGCCAACAAUACAUUAUCGCUCAACUGAGAGAACGAUUAAACACUCUACUGAAAGGGGAAUAUUUUUCUCUCAUGCCUCAAACCCUGAAAGUGCAUGUCUUCCCUAGAGUUGCUGCACAGUUGAAAUGGGAAUAAUUCCUCGCCUGCCUGAUUAUUUUCGAGACAGGGAUGAAACUACCUUAGGAUCAUUUAAAAAAUGUUGAAAGUGUACUACAAUCAAAUGGUUUGAACUUCCACCAUGCAUCACUUGCAGCUCAUAAUGCUAAUGUUAAAUUCUGGAGACAUGAGUCUGUCUACAAAUUAAUGGAAAAUGUGAAUUAAUAUUUUCUUCCAGCUAAUUGCCCAACUCAUAUACUGCACAGUGCAGCCAAGCACAUUAGAUCUUGAAAACUCUCUUGCACAAGUUUUAAACCACUUUUUCUCAUUUGUCAAAAAAAAAAAAAAAAACAAACCAGAAUUACAGGACGUAUUUAAUUGUAAGUCUGGAAUACCAGGAAACAGUCAAGUCUCCCCAAAACUGUUACCUGUAUAUUCCAUGGUUAAUUUUUAAAAAAAAUUAGGUUAAAAAUACUGGAAGUUACUAUAGGUGAAUAUUAAUUGUUUGAGUAGUUUCAGUAACUUCUGAAUUUCUUUUUAACAGUGAGAAAAAUACGAAGUGAUACUUCUACCAUUUGAAUAUUAAUAGUGCUAAGAAGAUUUUUAUGGUUCUUUCUUAACAUGAGAAUGGUGUCUAACAUGCUGAAAUUUGUGGUUAAAUAUGCUUAUCAAAGAGCAAGAGGUAACAAUUUAAAAAAAAAAAUAUAACUCCUGUUUCAAAAUGCACCAUCAGAAAGAUGGAAACAGGUUGAUUCAGUAGCAGCAAAAAACAUGUAAAAUGAAUACUUUGAUUUUACAAAAAAAAAAAUCUAAUUUUGAGUCCUUUUACUUCCUCUUAGAAAUACUGAAAAGUUUGAAUUUUAUAAAACCAUGAGCAUUACCAAGGUCUGAAAAUUAAAAAAAUGUGAGAAAUUACUGUAUCAGAAACACUGCUCAGUAAAAGAGUCAGUAAAGCAGGUACUUUAUUUAUCUAAUCGCUUCCCAGACGGAGACCCCAUAGCACACUUCUGUACAGUAACAUGCAGAGUCCAACAUGAAAUGGCAAUGUAAAAGUGCAUUACCUGAAUGUCAAAGCCAUGUCUGACCAGAAAGAAAAACUAUGUAAAAUUACUUAUCUGCACUCUGUCUAGAGCAUAUAAACCAGAUCACUUCACAUUGCCUCAAUGACUUGCUACACCUUCUUUAUUAGUCCAACUAAUGUUUGUAACUUGUGUAGUGCUUCAGGAUAGUUUGAUUAUUUCCAUAAAUACCAUUAUGGAGAAGAGUUUAUUAUUCCUUUAAUAUACACAGUGUUGGCUAACCUAUGAAAUACAGAAAAUACUCAACCAUGCAUUACUGACAAGGCUUGUGAACCAAACUUAUGACCUACACAGCCCAAAAAAGAAAAAAAAAAGAAAGAAACCAAAAAAUCAAAGCAAACACCAGCUAAUUUCUAAUGAGACUUGGCACUUCUGGGCAAACUUGAAAGUGUGAGGCUUUGAAGCUGCACUGCAACAGAAUCAACUCCAGUUAUGUCCUUCUGUUUCUAUGAAAAAUAAAGAAGGUUUAAGGCAUUUCCUCCUCAUUUUACUAACAGAGGGGAAACAGUAACAUUCUCAGAAAAAUUUUGAAAACAAACAUCUCUGAAAGGCUCUGUAGUCACAGAACAAGAAGGAUCUCACAACAUCCCAUAUCCUGUGGUGCUGGAGACAGCUAUAGUUCUAAUCAGGUGCAGUUUCCAGGUUCCCCACUGAGGAGCCUGUGGACAAAUUCCCGGUUCCACAAGGGGCUGAACAAGGCAGCUCAGCCCCACACCAAGCAAACAGCCAGCCUGGGAACACAAACUACAUAUGCAAUGGGUGUAUCACACCCCACCAGUCUACACUGAAUUGACUUUAAAAACCACAGUAAGUCACACAGCUUAGCACAGAAUUCUUAUUCAUUGCUAGGGAAGCAAGAUCAGGAAUCAGUUAUAUCAGUAUGGAACACAAAAGUAACUCAAUUUACAUGGGAUGUCUUCUCAUCAAUUAUUUCCCUGUGGCUCUAAACCCUGAAAUUUCAUUAUAAGAAAUUAGGGGCUUCUACUCUACAAUAAUUCACCUGUAUAAAAUAAAUAGAUCUGUAAGAGAUUACUAUGCUUUAAACCAUCUAAGAUACAAUUGUAGAUAUAAAUGCAGUUCUUUCAUGUGUCCUACUUUAUUACCAAUAAAGUAGCACAGAUUCAAUUACGAUAACACCUGAAACUGUGAUAAUAUCUAAUCAGACAGUUUACAAGCCUGUGAAUCAGCACACAGUCCAUACUAACUACAAACUGUGACAGUGACUUGAUGUGUCUGUGCUCUGGGUGUUUCCCAGUUUUCUUUUACAAAAUAAUAAAUUCAAUUCACACUCCUAUGCAUCACCUGUAGAACUUUUUUUGAAUACUCUUCAAGGAAAGGUGAGAGCUAAAAUGCAAUUCAACCCACUGCAGCAUUUAAGCAUACAGAAUUUCACAAAGGUUGGUGGAAACCACUCACACCCUAAAGAGUUGUGUGCCUUCUUGGGUUGAAAGUGUUUGAAUUCUGGCUGAAUAGUCUCAAGGCAGAGACUAUUCAAAUAUAUGAUUACUGAAAAGUGCUUUUUAAUUUUCUAGUAUUUUUCAGUCAAUUUUCUUUUUUAAUCAAGGUUUUUUUUAGGCUAGCUUAAGUCCUUCUGAUAUGUGGAUAAAGCACUUAAUCAGUAUACAACUUCCAAGAUCUCUGCUGCUCAAAUUCACUUACGCAGAAACAAUUCCAUAAUAAAAAAAAACUUUCAUCAUUUAUAAAAAUGUGACAUCAGAUACAUUAAAAAAACCACAGACAUAAGAGGUUAUAAAAAAGUAAUUUUUGUUCAGUUAAGGUAGAACAGAUACCCUUAGGUGAACAGAAACCUAAUUUAAAUUACUUUUGUUUUUCAGCAUUCGGAAAUUAAAUUAUAUUGAACUGUCCGAUUCGGGAAAAAUUGGAUUUUGUUUAAUCAGUCUUGUCUUAACUACGACAGUUUCACUUUCUCUGUAAAAGCAUAUCCCUUGGGGAAGCUGAACAAGGUUUGAUGCCUGAACGGAAGGUAGGAAGGCUUAAAAAAGGGAACUCGCUAGAUUCCUUUAACUGGAUGAGGACAUUGGGCUUUUAAGUGCGCACGGGGCUGAAGACGAAUGUAGGUCACGGGGACACGACUUUAGCUUGUAAAGGGGUCUGCGGCAGAAAAAGCGCUCGUCGGAGAACCUCGGGGCACAGGGGACAGCGGGCCCUGACAAGCCAUUACACAGACGGGCGCGCCAGCAGGAUUUGGCAUGGUGUUUACACCUUUGCAUGCUGGUCUUUCAUAUUUGCAUGUCAGCUCCGAUUUCACCUUUUCAGUCCCCGAUACCAUCUCCGAGGAUGCGGCCGGGCAGGGAGGGGAUGCUCAAUGAAAGAGGGAUUUUUAACCAUUAACAGGAAUAUCUCGAAGGCUGGUGACAAGAGGAUGGUGCCAGACCUUUUCCAGUGGUGCCAAGUGACAGGAUGAGGAGCGAUGACCAUAACUAAAACACAAGUUUCAUCUCAACUCGAGGAAG